AUUGAACGCUGGCGGCAGGCCUAACACAUGCAAGUCGAGCGGAUGAAGGGAGCUUGCUCCUGGAUUCAGCGUCGGACGGGUGAGUAAUGCCUAGGAAUCUGCCUGGUAGUGCGGGAUAACGUCCGGAAACGGGCGCUAAUACCGCAUACGUCCUGAUGGAGAUAGUGGGGGAUCUUCGGACCUCACGCUAUCAGAUGAGCCUAGGUCGGAUUAGCUAGUUGGUGGGGUAAAGGCCUACCAAGGCGACGAUCCGUAACUGGUCUGAGAGGAUGAUCAGUCACACUGGAACUGAGACACGGUCCAGACUCCUACGGGAGGCAGCAGUGGGGAAUAUUGGACAACGGGCGAAAGCCUGAUACAGCGAUGCCGAGUGUGUGAAGAAGGUCUUCGGAUUGUAAAGCACUUUAAGUUGGGAGGAAGGGCAGUAAGUUAAUACCUUGCUGUUUUGACGUUACCAACAGAAUAAGCACCGGCUAACUUCGUG
rnacentral:rRNA from 1 species